rnacentral:ncRNA from 2 species
CUCCGGGUGUGGAAGACUGCACCGGCACAACAAUUCGAUCGAGACGGCAGGCCAGGAAGCCGGUGCGAAUCCGGCGCGGUCCCGCCACUGUGACCGGCCCCGUGCGCGUCAGCGCGGCACGGAGCCGGGAGUCAGACACUGGGCUGCCGUCUUCCUCAUAC